rnacentral:rRNA from 1 species
GAUGAACGCUGGCGGCGUGCUUAACACAUGCAAGUCGAACGAAAGGACCCAAGCUUGCUUGGUUACUCGUGUGGCGAAGGCGUGAGUAAAACGUGGGGGUCCUGCCCUGCUCUUCCGGAUAAGCCUGGGAAACUGGGUCUAAUAUCGCAGAGGACGAUGGUUACGACGUCAUUCCGGAAAGUAUUUCCGGUGUGGGAUGAGCUCGCGGUCUAUCAGCUCGUUGGUGGGGUAAUGGUCUAGUAAGGCGUCGACGGGGAGCCGGCCCGAGAGAGUGUACGGCCACAUUGGGACCGAGCGACAGGCCAGACUCGCGCGUGAGGCGGCAGUGGGGAAAAUUUGACGAAGGGCGCCAGCCUGAUGCAGCGACGCCGCGUGGUGGAUGACGGCCUUCGGGUGGUAAACUCCUUUGGCUAGGGACGAAGCGUCUUUGUGACGGUACCUGGUGAGGAAGCACCGGCUAACUACGUG